rnacentral:rRNA from 1 species
GGGGAAUCUUGCACAAUGGGGGAAACCCUGAUGCAGCGACGCCGCGUGAGCGAUGAAGCCCUUCGGGGUGUAAAGCUCUUUCGGCAGGAACGAUUAUGACGGUACCUGCAGAAGAAGCUGCGGCUAACUACGUGCCAGCAGCCGCGGUAAUACGUAGGCAGCAAGCGUUGUUCGGAGUUACUGGGCGUAAAGAGUGCGUAGGCGGUUCUCUAAGUUCGGUGUGAAAUCUCCCGGCUCAACUGGGAGGGUGCGCCGGAAACUGGAGGGCUUGAGUAUGGGAGAGGAAAGCGGAAUUCCUGGUGUAGCGGUGAAAUGCGUAGAUAUCAGGAGGAACACCUGUGGUGUAGACGGCUUUCUGGACCAUGACUGACGCUGAGGCACGAAAGCGUGGGGAGCAAAC